UUUUGAUUCCAAAAGAAGGAUAUGAAAGAAAAAAUAAAACGAAGCUCAAACGGGUAAACAAAGGAUGACACAAUGUUUGGAUAGAAGAAUAAAAUGCCUUCAUCAUAUCAAUCUUAAAAAUGCAAGUACUAAACAUGCAAUAAAAUCAACAAAGGAUAAAAUAUCAUACAUAAUAUCUUUUGACCGCAUCAGCAUUGAUAGCCAUUUUUGCCAUUUUGCCUUCAAUAUCUGUCAAAUAUAAGGCUCCAUUGGGCAACACUUUCUUCACAACGAAGGGACCUUGCUAGUUAGGGGAGAACUUGCCUUUCGCUUCAACCUGAUGAGGAAGGAUACGUUUCAAUACCAACUGACCAACUUCAAAAUUCCUGGGACGGACCUUUUUGUUAUACGCUCGAGCCAUCCUCCUCUGAUAUAACUGGCCAUGACACACAGACGUUAGCCUUUUUUCCUUAAUCAAACUCAAAUGCUCCAGUCGGGUUUUGACCCAUUCGUCAUCAUCAAU
rnacentral:lncRNA from 1 species